UACGAAGGGGGCUAGCGUUGCUCGGAAUCACUGGGCGUAAAGGGUGCGUAGGCGGGUUUUUAAGUCAGAGGUGAAAUCCUGGAGCUCAACUCCAGAACUGCCUUUGAUACUGGCGAUCUUGAGUCCGGGAGAGGUGAGUGGAACUGCGAGUGUAGAGGUGAAAUUCGUAGAUAUUCGCAAGAACACCAGUGGCGAAGGCGGCUCACUGGCCCGGUACUGACGCUGAGGUGCGAAAGCGUGGGGAGCAAACAGGG
rnacentral:rRNA from 1 species